rnacentral:rRNA from 1 species
AAAUGACACCGUAACUUCGGGAGAAGGUGUGCCCUCUGUACGUGAAGCCCCUUGCGGGUGGAGCGGAAGAGGGUUGCAGAGAAACGGGGGUAGCGACUGUUUACCAAAAACCCAGCACUGUGCGAAGUCGGAAGACGACGUAUACGGUGUGAUGCCUGCCCGGUGCCGGAAGGUUAAGGGGAGUUGUCAGCCGUAAGGCAAAGCAGCGAACCGAAGCCCCGGUAAACGGCGGCCGUAACAAUAACGGUCCUAAGGUAGCGAAAUUCCUUGUCGGGUAAGUUCCGACCUGCACGAAUGGCAUAACGACUUCCCCACUGUCUCGAGCAGGGACUCAGCGAAGUAGCACUAGGGGUGAAGAUACCCUUUACCCGCGGCAGGACGGAAAGACCCCGUGAACCUUUACUGUAACUUGGCACUGAACUUCGGGUUCGUUUGCGUAGGAUAGGUGGGACGCUAGGAAGCAUGGACUCCGGUCUGUGUGGAGCGGCCGUUGAAAUACCACCCUGACGAAUCUGGAGUUCUAACCUGCACCCGUGAGCCGGGUGGGGGACAAUGCCUGGUGGGCAGUUUGACUGGGGCGGUCGCCUCCCAAAGAGUAACGGAGGCGCGCGAAGGUUCCCUCAGGCUGAUUGGAAACCAGCCGACGGGUGUAAUGGCAUAAGGGAGCUUGACUGCGAGACUGACAAGUCGAGCAGGUGCGAAAGCAGGUCAUAGUGAUCCGGUGGUUCUGAAUGGAAGGGCCAUCGCUCAACGGAUAAAAGGUACUCCGGGGAUAACAGGCUUAUCACGCCCAAGAGUUCACAUCGACGGCGUGGUUUGGCACCUCGAUGUCGGCUCAUCGCAUCCUGGGGCUGAAGUUGGUCCCAAGGGUUUGGCUGUUCGCCAAUUAAAGCGGUACGCGAGCUGGGUUCAAAACGUCGUGAGACAGUUUGGUCCCUAUCCGCCGUGGGCGCAGGACGCUUGAGAGGAUCUGUCCUUAGUACGAGAGGACCGGGAUGGACGGACCGCUAGUGUUCCGGUUGAGGCGCCAGCUGCAAUGCCGGGUAGCUAUGUUCGGAAGGGAUAACCGCUGAAAGCAUCUAAGCGGGAAGCCCACCUCGAGAUAAGGCGUCCCUGAGACUUCGGUCUCCUGAAGACCCCAUGUAGACCACGUGGUUGAUAGGCUGGGUGUGGAAGCGCUGCAAGGCGCGGAGCUAACCAGUACUAAUCGGUCGUGAGGCUUGACCAC